CAGUAGCCGCGGUAAUACGAAGGGGGCUAGCGUUGUUCGGAUUUACUGGGCGUAAAGCGCACGUAGGCGGACUUUUAAGUCAGGGGUGAAAUCCCGGGGCUCAACCCCGGAACUGCCUUUGAUACUGGAAGUCUUGAGUAUGGUAGAGGUGAGUGGAAUUCCGAGUGUAGAGGUGAAAUUCGUAGAUAUUCGGAGGAACGCCAGUGGCGAAGGCGGCUCACUGGACCAUUACUGACGCCGAGGUGCGAAAGCGUGGGGAGCAAACAGGAUUAGAUACCCCCGUAGUCCCUGUCUCUUAUAA
rnacentral:rRNA from 1 species